AUCCACCUGACGAGUCUCAAAUAGGACGAAAAGCGCCUUGUCCUGGAU
rfam:Schistosoma rodhaini strain Burundi genome assembly, scaffold: SROB_contig0003582